rnacentral:rRNA from 1 species
UACGUAGGGGGCAAGCGUUGUCCGGAUUUAUUGGGCGUAAAGAGCGUGUAGGCGGUUUGGUAGGUCCGCUGUGAAAACUCGAGGCUCAACCUCGAGACGUCGGUUGAAACCGUCUGGCUAGAGUCCGGAAGAGGAGAGUGGAAUUCCCGGUGUAGCGGUGAAAUGCGUAGAUAUGUGGAGGAACACCGAUGGCGAAGGCAGCCCCCUGGGUCAAAACUGACGCUCAUGCACGAAAGCGUGGGGAGCAAACAGG